GAAUACAUUAGCAUGGGAAAUGGAAUAGGACCCUGUCCUCCUAUUUUCAGUUGGUUUUGGCAGCGCGAGGACUAGGGUAAUGAUUAAUAGGGAUAGUUGGGGGCAUUAAUAUUUAAUUGUCAGAGGUGAAAUUCUUGGAUUUAUGAAAGAUUAACUUCUGCGAAAGCAUCUGCCAAGGAUGUUUUCAUUAAUCAAGAACGAAAGUUAGGGGAUCGAAGACGAUCAGAUACCGUCGUAGUCUUAACCAUAAACGAUGCCGACCAGCGAUUAGGAGACGUUGAAUACAAAACACCACCAUCGGCGCGGUCGUCCUUGGCGCGUUCGUGUUCACGCACGGGCGCGCGAGGGCGGCUUAGCCCGGUGGCACCGGUGAAUGAACUCCCUAGCAAGUUGGAAA
rnacentral:rRNA from 1 species